rnacentral:rRNA from 1 species
AUUGAACGCUGGCGGCAGGCUUAACACAUGCAAGUCGAGCGAGCGGCGGACGGGCGAGUAAUGUCUGGGCAACUGCCUGAUGGAGGGGGAUAACUACUGGAACCGGUAGCUAAUACCGCAUACCAUCAGAUGUGCCCAGAUGGGAUUAGCUAGUAGGUGGGGUAAUGGCUCACCUAGGCGACGAUCCGUAGCUGGUCUGAGAGGACGACCAGCCACACUGGGACUGAGACACGGCCCAGACUCCUACGGGAGGCAGCAGUGGGGAAUAUUGGACAAUGGGCGAAAGCCUGAUCCAGCCAGGCCGCGUGUGUGAAGAAGGCCUGCGGGUUGUAAAGCACUUUCAGCGGGGAGGCGGUACCCACAGAGGAAGCACCGGCUAACUCCGUGCCAGCAGCCGCGGUAAUAC